rnacentral:rRNA from 1 species
UUCCAGACUCCUACGGGAGGCAGCAGUGGGGAAUAUUGCACAAUGGGGGGAAACCCUGAUGCAGCGACGCCGCGUGAAGGACGAAGUAUUUCGGUACGUAAACUUCUAUCAGCAGGGAAGAAAAUGACGGUACCUGACCAAGAAGCCCCGGCUAACUACGUGCCAGCAGCCGCGGUAAUACGUAGGGGGCAAGCGUUAUCCGGAUUUACUGGGUGUAAAGGGAGCGUAGACGGCCAUGCAAGUCUGAUGUGAAAACCCGGGGCUCAACCCCGGGACUGCAUUGGAAACUGUGCGGCUGGAGUGUCGGAGAGGCAAGUGGAAUUCCUAGUGUAACGGUGAAAUGCGUAGAUAUUAGGAGGAACACCAGUGGCGAAGGCGGCUUGCUGGACGACGACUGACGUUGAGGCUCGAAAGCGUGGGGAGCAAACAGGAUUAGAUACCCGUGUAAU